GAUGAAGAACGCAGCGAAAUGCGAUAAGUAAUGUGAAUUGCAGAAUUCAGUGAAUCAUCGAAUCUUUGAACGCACAUUGCGCCCGCCAGUAUUCUGGCGGGCAUGCCUGUUCGAGCGUCAUUUCAACCAUCAAGCCCCAGGCUUGUGUUGGGGACCUGCGGCUGCCGCAAGCCCUGAAAACCAGUGGCGGGCUCGCUGUCACACCGGGCGUAGUAGAUUUUAUCUCGCUCAGGGCGUGCUGCGGGUUCCGGCCGUUAAAAAGCCUUUUUUACCCAAGGUUGACCUCGGAUCAGGUAGGAAGACCCGCUGAGCUUAAGCAUAUCAAUAAGCGGAGGA
rnacentral:misc_RNA from 1 species